rnacentral:rRNA from 1 species
UUAUGGAGAUGUAUAGCAAUAGCUGAUUGCACCAACAAACAGUUGAUGCAAAAUUGAUUAUAUCAAAUAAAAUUCUAGGUAGAUUUUUGAUAAUGACAUUGCUUACCUAAGUCUUGACCAAAUUACGUGCCAGCAGUCGCGGUAAUACGUAAAAGACUAGUGUUAUUCAUCUUUAAUUGGUUUAAAGGGUACCUAGACAGCGAAUAAAGCCAUUGUAGGGACUAAUACGCUAGAGUUACUUAUGAGGGGGUAUUAAAGUACUGCAGGUGUAGAGAUGAAAUUUUGUUAUACCUCUUUUCGUAUGAGAAACUAUGGCACAGGUAUAGGUGAAAGCAUCCCCUUAUGUGAUAACUGACGUUGAGGGACGAAGGCUUUGUGUCGCGAACAGGAUUAGAUACCCCAAUAGUCAAAGCAGAAAAUGAUGAAUGUCAUAGAUUAGAUAUACAAUUUAUUCGAGGGAUGAAAGUGUAAGCAUUCCACCUCAAGAGUAAGGGGGGGGGGGUUGGAACUGAAAUCAUUAUACCGUUUCUGAAACCAGUAA